UACGGGGGGAGCAAGCGUUGUUCGGAUUUACUGGGCGUAAAGGGCGCGUAGGCGGCCACCGCAAGUCGACUGUGAAAUCUCCGGGCUUAACCCGGAAAGGUCAGCCGAUACUGCGGGGCUAGAGUGCAGAAGGGGCAACUGGAAUUCUCGGUGUAGCGGUGAAAUGCGUAGAUAUCGAGAGGAACACCUGCGGCGAAGGCGGGUUGCUGGGCUGAUACUGACGCUGAUGCGCGAAAGCUAGGGGAGCGAACGGG
rnacentral:rRNA from 1 species